rnacentral:rRNA from 1 species
UUUCGCAAUGCCCGAAAGGGUGACGAAGCGACGCCGCGUGUGGGAAGAAGGCCUUCGGGUUGUAAACCACUGUCGGGAGUUAGGAAAUGCAGGUGCGUUAAUAGCGCACUUGCUUGACUAAGGCUCCAGAGGAAGCCACGGCUAACUCUGUGCCAGCAGCCGCGGUAAUACAGAGGCGGCAAGCGUUGUUCGGAAUUAUUGGGCGUAAAGAGCACGUAGGCGGCCUUGCAAGUCAGUUGUGAAAGCCUUCCGCUUAACGGAAGAACGGCAUCUGAUACUACAGGGCUUGAGUACGGGAGGGGAGAGUGGAACUUCUGGUGGAGCGGUGAAAUGCGUAGAUAUCAGAAGGAACGCCGGCGGCGAAAGCGACUCUCUGGUCCGAAACUGACGCUGAGUGUGCGAAAGCUAGGGGAGCAAACGGGAUUAGAUACCCUGGUAGUCCUAGCCGUAAACGAUGGGCACUAAGUAGAGGGGUUUU